UAAAGCUCUGUGGCGGGACGAAUAAGGCUUGGCUAACAUCCAAGCUGAUGACGGUACCCGUUUAGCAAGCACCGGCUAACUCUGUGC
rnacentral:rRNA from 1 species